AACGCGAAGAACCUUACCAAGGUUUGACAUGGCCGGAAAAGCACCAGAGAUGGUGUGUCCUUCGGGGUCGGUCACAGGUGGUGCAUGGCUGUCGUCAGCUCGUGUCGUGAGAUGUUGGGUUAAGUCCCGCAACGAGCGCAACCCUCGUCCUAUGUUGCCAGCGGGUAAUGCCGGGGACUCAUAGGAGACUGCCGGGGUCAACUCGGAGGAAGGUGGGGAUGACGUCAAGUCCUCAUGCCCCUUAUGUCUUGGGCUGCAAACAUGCUACAAUGGCCAGUACAAAGGGUUGCGAGACCGCAAGGUGGAGCGAAUCCCAAAAAAGCUGGUCUCAGUUCGGAUUGGGGUCUGCAACUCCGACCCAUGAAGUCGGAGUCGCUAGUAAUCGCAGAUCAGCAACGCUGCGGUGAAUACGGUUCCCGGGCUUGUACACACCGCUAGUC
rnacentral:rRNA from 1 species